GACGAACGCUGGCGGCGGGCUUAACACAUGCAAGUCGAACGGAAAGGCCCUGCUUUUGUGGGGUGCUCGAGUGGCGAACGGGAGAGUAACACGUGAGUAACCUGCCCUUGACUUUGGGAUAACUUCAGGCAACUGGGGCUAAUACCGGAUAGGAGCUCCUGCUGCAUGGUGGGGGUUGGAAAGUAUCGGCGGUUGGGGAUGGACUUGGGGCUUAUCAGCUUGUUGGUUGGGUAGUUGCCUACCAAGGCUUUGACGGGUAGCCGGCCUGAGAGGGUGACCGGCCACAUUGGGACUGAGGUACGGCCCAGACUGCUACGGGAGGCAGCAGGGGGGAAUAUUGCACAAUGGGCGGAAGCCUGAUGCAGCAACGCCGCGUGCGGGAUGACGGCCUUCGGGUUGUAAACCGCUUUCGCCUGUGACGAAGCGUGAGUGACGGUAAUGGGUAAAGAAGCACCGGCUAACUACGUG
rnacentral:rRNA from 1 species